rnacentral:rRNA from 1 species
GACGGAGGAUGCAAGCGUUAUCCCGAAUGAUUGGGCGUAAAGCGUCCGCAGGUGGCAGUUCAAGUCUGCUGUCAAAGACCGGGGCUUAACUUCGGAAAGGCAGUGGAAACUGAACAGCUAGAGUAUGGUAGGGGCAGAGGGAAUUCCUGGUGUAGCGGUGAAAUGCGUAGAUAUCAGGAAGAACAUCGGUGGCGAAGGCGCUCUGCUGGACCAUAACUGACACUCAGGGACGAAAGCUAGGGGAGCGAAUGGG